rnacentral:rRNA from 1 species
UACGAAGGGGGCUAGCGUUGCUCGGAAUCACUGGGCGUAAAGGGCGCGUAGGCGGCCAUUCAAGUCAGAGGUGAAAGCCCAAGGCUCAACCUUGGAAUUGCCUUUGAUACUGUUUGGCUUGAGACCGGAAGAGGUUAGUGGAACUGCGAGUGUAGAGGUGAAAUUCGUAGAUAUUCGCAAGAACACCAGUGGCGAAGGCGGCUAACUGGUCCGGUUCUGACGCUGAGGCGCGAAAGCCAGGGGAGCAAACGGG